GGGCAGAAUCGUGCCCUGUAAACAAGAUCUAAUUGUUAGGGAAGGAUGAAGCCACACCUUGCUCAAGUUCACAGGCAUCCUAGCCUCCCUGGAUCCAGUUUCCACAUAAGAGAAAACAUAUGGUUCUUCACCUUCUGAGUGGACCUGUACUAAGAGAACUGUUGUGGACCUGUACUAAGCUGAAGAGAACCUCCUCACACAUCAUGUUUUCAAGUUCCAUCCAUUUUCCUGCAAAUGAUGCAAUUUCAUUUUUCUUUCAAUAAAACUCCAUUGGAUAUACA